CUGGCUCUCUCAGUGGAAUAGAAUAUUAAAUUUUUGAGAUUUGUCAUUUGAGCUGAAUCGAGAUCAGUUCAAGUCGACUCGAGACUAGUUCGUGCUAAUUCGACACCUUCUAACAGGCAUAAUGAUUAGUUCUGCAAAAAUCUAUUUUCACCCAGAAAAGUAUUCUAAUGGCUAUUUUCUAUAUCCAAUGAUCAUAAAUGGCUAGAGUCAAGUUCAAAUAAGUCUAAG
rnacentral:lncRNA from 1 species